GCCGGUUCUAUCUAAAGUCGUUAGCCUAACCGCAAGGGGGCAGACGACCACGGUAGGGUCAGCGACUGGGGUGAAGUCGUAACAAGGUAGCCGUAGGUGAACCUGCAGAAGGAUCA
rnacentral:rRNA from 1 species